UACGAAGGGGGCUAGCGUUGCUCGGAAUCACUGGGCGUAAAGCGCACGUAGGCGGACUCUUAAGUCGGUGGUGAAAUCCUGGAGCUCAACUCCAGAACUGCCUUCGAUACUGGCGAUCUUGAGUCCGGAAGAGGUGAGUGGAACUCCUAGUGUAGAGGUGGAAUUCGUAGAUAUUAGGAAGAACACCAGUGGCGAAGGCGGCUCACUGGUCCGGGUACUGACGCUGAGGUGCGAAAGCGUGGGGAGCAAACAGG
rnacentral:rRNA from 1 species